AUUGAACGCUGGCGGCAUGCCUAACACAUGCCAGUCGAGCGGAUGAAGGGAGCUUACUCCUCUAUGCAGUGGCCGACGGGUGGGUAAUGCCUAGGAAGCUAACUGGCAGUUGAGGAUAAGAUCCCUACACGAGCCCUAAUAUCGCAUACGUUCUUAUUUUGAAAGGGAUGGAUCUUCGGAGAUCACGCUACCUGAUGACCCUAGUUGGUAUUAGCUAGUUGGUGGGGUAAGGGCUUACCAAGGCGACGAUCCAUAGCUGGUCUGAGAGGAUGAUCUGUCACACUGGAACUGAGACACGGUCCAGACUCCUACGGGAGGCAGCAGUGGGGAAUAUUCGGCAAUGGGCGAAAGCCUGAUGGAGCAACGCCGCGUGUGUGAAGAAGGUCUUCGGAUCGUAAAACACUUUAAGUAGGGAAGAAGAGAAGUAAGUGAAUAUGUUCAUGUCUUGACGUUACCAAAACAGAAAGCCACGGCUAACUUCGUG
rnacentral:rRNA from 1 species